GACGAACGCUGGCGGCGUGCUUAACACAUGCAAGUCGAACGAAGAGCGAUGAAGCUUGCUUCUAUCAAUCUUAGUGGCGAACGGGUGAGUAACGCGUAAUCAACCUGCCCUUCAGAGGGGGACAACAGUUGGAAACGACUGCUAAUACCGCAUACGAUCUAACCUCGGCAUCGAGGAUGGAUGAAAGGUGGCCUUUAUUUAUAAGCUAUCACUGAAGGAGGGGAUUGCGUCUGAUUAGCUAGUUGGAGGGGUAACGGCCCACCAAGGCGAUGAUCAGUAGCCGGUCUGAGAGGAUGAACGGCCACAUUGGGACUGAGACACGGCCCAGACUCCUACGGGAGGCAGCAGUGGGGAAUCUUCCGCAAUGGACGAAAGUCUGACGGAGCAACGCCGCGUGAGUGAUGACGGCCUUCGGGUUGUAAAGCUCUGUUAAUCGGGACGAAAGGCCUUCUUGCGAAUAGUUAGAAGGAUUGACGGUACCGGAAUAGAAAGCCACGGCUAA
rnacentral:rRNA from 1 species